rnacentral:misc_RNA from 1 species
CCCACAUCGGUUCUGCAGGGAGGGCUUGGGUGUUAUAUAUAUGGGUUUACAAACCUCUCCUUGUAAGCUAGCUUUUAAGGUAGAGUUAAGCAAGUUCAUAUCAGUUAGGCUUAAUUAUUUAUUUUUUGUUUGUUUUCAGAGUUAUAUUUAUUAAAGGAGAUGUAGCACAAGUAGGAUUAGUUUUAAAGGAGAUGUUGCACAAGUACAAUUAGUUUAAGUUUUCCUAGUAGGAUUAUGUCUUUGUUUGAGUGCCUAUAAAUAGGUCUCACUUUUGUAAUUUUUCAUUAUUAGUUAUUUUUCUAAAUAAGUGUUGCUCCUUUGUCUUACACUUGUGUGUAAGUGUGGCAAAUGCUUUCACUUAUCAAUCAUACUUGAUUGUGGCAUCUAAACUAGACUUAUCAUAUUUCAUAUGCUUUGGAGUGUGUGGCGUCUUCCUUGGAGUAGUUUUUUCUUUGUGGCGAUCUAAUCUUAUCAAAGGAGUUGCAGUAUCUACCUUGGAACUACCUACCUAUCUAUCUCUUUUCUAGCUUUCU